UACGAACUGUGCGAACGUUAUUCGGAAUCACUGGGCUUAAAGGGUGCGUAGGCGGUUUGUUAAGUCAGGUGUGAAAGCCCCCGGCUCAACCGGGGAACAGCGCUUGAAACUAGCAGACUGGAGUGAGGUAAGGGUGUGCGGAACUUCCAGUGGAGCGGUGAAAUGUGUAGAUAUUGGAAGGAACGCCGGUGGCGAAAGCGGCACACUGGGCCUUGUCUGACGCUGAGGCACGAAAGCCAGGGGAGUGAACGGG
rnacentral:rRNA from 1 species